rnacentral:rRNA from 1 species
UAACGAAUAUUCCGCAAUGCGCGCAAGCGUGACGGAGCAAUGCCGCGUGAAGGAUGAAGCCCCUCGGGGUGUAAACUUCUGUCAGGGGUCAGGAAACCUGACCAACCCCAAAGGAAGAGCCGGCUAACUCUGUGCCAGCAGCCGCGGUAAUACAGAGGGCUCAAGCGUUAAUCGGAAUCACUGGGCUUAAAGGGUGCGCAGGCGGAUCAGUAAGUGUCUUGUGAAAUACCACGGCUCAACCGUGGAACUGCUCGGCAGACUGCUGAUCUUGAGCCCGGCAGGGGCCGUCGGAACGCUAGGUGGAGCGGUGAAAUGCGUAGAUAUCUAGCGGAACGCCAAAGGUGAAGACAGACGGCUGGGCCGGCGCUGACGCUCAGGCACGAAAGCGUGGGGAGCGAACGGGAUUAGAUACCCCCGUAGUCC